GGCAUUGCCCGGUAGCUACGUUCGGAAUCGAUAACCGCUGAAAGCAUCUAAGCGGGAAGCGAGCCCAGAGAUGAGUCAUCCCAGACAGUUUAACUGUCCUGAAGGGUUGUUGUAGACUACAACGUUGAUAGGCAGGGUGUGGAAGCGUUGUAAAGCGUUAAGCUAACCUGUACUAAUUGCCCGUGCGGCUUAACC
rnacentral:rRNA from 1 species